rnacentral:rRNA from 1 species
GGAGUUUGGACCGUGUCUCAGUUCCAAUGUGGGGGACCUUCCUCUCAGAACCCCUACUGAUCGUCGCCUUGGUGGGCCGUUACCCCGCCAACUAGCUAAUCAGUCGCAUCCUCAUCCAUCGCCGAUAAAUCUUUAUUCGCCAAACCAUGCGGAAAAGCGAAACCAUCAGGUAUUAAUCUUUCUUUCGAAAGGCUAUCCCUGAGCCAUGGGUAGAUUGGAUACGCGUUACGCACCCGUGCGCCGGUCGCCGGCAGUGUAUUGCUACACCCCGCUGCCCCUCGACUUGCAUGUGUUAGGCCUGCCGCUAGCGUUCAUC